GAGGCCCCGCGGUACAAUUUUCUG
rnacentral:piRNA from 1 species